CUGUAGCCCCCCCGCUGGACUGGACCCCCCGAAACGAGGGACAAGCACUUGGACCCGAACAUGGUAUGGACAUCAUGCUGUAGUGUAGUUGUGCCACAGCGUCCCCCAACAAGCCAGUCACUUCUGAGGAGAGAGAGCUCUAGAUCUACUGGUGCUAGACUUUAUAGUACAUAAGAAUACUUUUAAGACUCCUCUCUGGUGUACUGAUCUCUGCACCACAUUCAUUUCACAGAUGAUUACAUGAAGUUUUGACUGCACAAUUAAAGGAUGAUUUACCUCAGCCAUUGGGAACAGCUCAUCUGAAGCAGACGAAAUGAACUCAAUUUGUCGAUGAUUUUAUCCAACUGCAUAUAAAUUAUAUUAAAUUAUGUUCAUUUGAA